rnacentral:rRNA from 1 species
AUUGAACGCUGGCGGCAGGCCUAACACAUGCAAGUAGAACGAGUGGCGGACGGGUGAGUAAUGUCUGGGAAACUGCCCGAUGGAGGGGGAUAACUACUGGAAACGGUAGCUAAUACCGCAUACCAUCUGUGGUGCCCAGAUGGGAUUAGCUAGGAGGGGGGGUAACGGCUCACCUAGGCUACGAUCCAUAGCUGGUCUGAGAGGAUGAACAGACAAACUGGAACUGAGACAAGGUCCAGAAUCCUACGGGAGGCAGCAGUGGGGAAUAUUGCACAAUGGGCGCAAGCCUGAUGCAGCAAUGCCGCGUGUAUGAAGAAGGCCUUCGGGUUGUAAAGUACUUUCAGCGAGGAGGCGUUACUCGCAGAAGAAGCACCGGCUAACUCCGUGCCAGCAGCCGCGGUAAUAC